GGUAAGAACGGCCCACCAGCCGGGGCAUAGCGUGAGGGGCAAGCAUGUGUCGGAAUUGCUGGACGUAAAGCGUGCUCAGGCGUCGAUUGACGUCCGUGGUGAAAGCCCGGAGCUCAAUGCGGGGACUGCAGUUGAGACGGGAUGGCUAGAGGAUCGUAGAGUGAAGGUGAAUGCCACGUGUAGCGGUGAAAUGCGUAGAGAUCUGGAGGAACACCUGUGGCGAAGGCGCCUUGCGGGCCGAAAUCUGACGCUGAUGCGCGAAAGCGUGGGGAGCAAACAGGAUUAGAUACCCGAGUAGUC
rnacentral:rRNA from 1 species